rnacentral:tRNA from 1 species
GGAAUGUGGCUCAAGAGAUAGUGCGCUCGCCUAGCAUGCGUGCGGCCCGGGUUCGAUCCUCAGCACCA